GAUGAACGCUGGCGGCGUGCCUAAUACAUGCAAGUCGAGCGAACGGACGAGAAGCUUGCUUUUCUGAUGUUAGCGGCGGACGGGUGAGUAACACGUGGAUAACCUACCUAUAAGACUGGGAUAACUUCGGGAAACCGGAGCUAAUACCGGAUAAUAUUUUGAACCGCAUGGUUCAAAAGUGAAAGACGGUCUUGCUGUCACUUAUAGAUGGAUCCGCGCUGCAUUAGCUAGUUGGUAAGGUAACGGCUUACCAAGGCAACGAUGCAUAGCCGACCUGAGAGGGUGAUCGGCCACACUGGAACUGAGACACGGUCCAGACUCCUACGGGAGGCAGCAGUAGGGAAUCUUCCGCAAUGGGCGAAAGCCUGACGGAGCAACGCCGCGUGAGUGAUGAAGGUCUUCGGAUCGUAAAACUCUGUUAUUAGGGAAGAACAUAUGUGUAAGUAACUGUGCACAUCUUGACGGUACCUAAUCAGGAAGCCACGGCUAACUACGUG
rnacentral:rRNA from 1 species